ensembl:snRNA U6 U6 spliceosomal RNA
GCUAACUAUAGUAGCACAGACCAAGACUGGAGCAACACAGAAAAGACUAAGCAUGGUCCCUGUCCAAGGAUAACACAUAAAGUUGUGAAGCAAUCCACAUUAAA